UGAAGGAGCCGGUCAAGAGCUUGUUGCAGAAAGCAAUAAUUGUUCAACCGCAAAAGUUGCUUCAGGAAACAAAUGACUUAAAGAUGUUGGAAUGUGGCUUUCUGACAAUAUUAAGGAUCACUUCGCAAGAAAGAGCAACAUGUCAAUUACACUUAAAUACAUUGGUGGAUCGAUCAGGUAUAUAUUGAGUGCAAAUUUUUCUGA